rnacentral:rRNA from 1 species
GGAGGCAGCAGUGGGGAAUAUUGCCCAAUGGGCGGAAGCCUGAUGCAGCGACGCCGCGUGAGGGAUGCGGCCUUCGGGUUGUAACCUCUUUCAGCAGGGACGAAGCGAGAGUGACGGUACCUGCAGAAGAAGCACCGGCCAACUACGUGCCAGCAGCCGCGGUAAGACGUAGGGUGCGAGCGUUGUCCGGAUUUAUUGGGCGUAAAGAGCUCGUAGGCGGCUUGUCGCGUCGACCGUGAAAACUUGGGGCUCAACCCCAAGCCUGCGGUCGAUACGGGCAGGCUAGAGUUCGGUAGGGGAGACUGGAAUUCCUGGUGUAGCGGUGAAAUGCGCAGAUAUCAGGAGGAACACCGGUGGCGAAGGCGGGUCUCUGGGCCGAUACUGACGCUGAGGAGCGAAAGCGUGGGGAGCGAACAGGAUUAGAUACCCUGGUAGUCCACGCUGUAAACGUUGGGCGCUAGGUGUGGGGGGCCUCUCCGGUUCCCUGUGCCGCAGCUAACGCAUUAAGCGCCCCGCCUGGGGAGUACGGCCGCAAGGCUAAAACUCAAAGGAAUUGACGGGGGCCCGCACAAGCGGCGGAGCAUGCGGAUUAAUUCGAUGCAACGCGAAGAACCUUACCUGGGUUUGACAUGGCCGCAAAACCUCCAGAGAUGGGGGGUCCUUCGGGGGCGGUCACAGGUGGUGCAUGGCUGUCGUCAGCUCGUGUCGUGAGAUGUUGGGUUAAGUCCCGCAACGAGCGCAACCCUCGUUCGAUGUUGCCAGCGCGUUAUGGCGGGGACUCAUCGAAGACUGCCGGGGUCAACUCGGAGGAAGGUGGGGAUGACGUCAAGUCAUCAUGCCCCUUAUGUCCAGGGCUUCACGCAUGCUACAAUGGCCGGUACAAUGGGCUGCGAUACCGUGAGGUGGAGCGAAUCCCAAAAAGCCGGUCUCAGUUCGGAUCGGGGUCUGCAACUCGACCCCGUGAAGUCGGAGUCGCUAGUAAUCGCAGAUCAGCAACGCUGCGGUGAAUACGUUCCCGGGCCUUGUACACACCGCCCGUCACGUCACGAAAGUCGGCAACACCCGAAGCCGGUGGCCCAACCCUUGUGGAGGGAGCCGUCGAAGGUGGGGCUGGCGAUGGGACGAAGUCGUAACAAGUAGAGAGCGAGUU